GGGGGCGUAUGGAUUCGACGGGGGUUACGAGGCUCAGGUUGCAUGCCGUGGUACCGUCACCACGUAAAAAGGCGGUAAAAAACACAAACGCCAACAACGAACUGGCACUCGCUGCUUAAUUAAAAGCAGCGCAUCUUUCGGGAGACGCCUGCUGUCCCGAAAAGGUGUCGACGAGCAGGCUGGUCCGGCACUCUUCUCCCCGGUGCUGGAUGAGAUCAAAGGGGGGAUAGGGCAUCGGGCAGCCCGUCUGCCGGCGACCCGGAGGCCCGAAAACCAAAAGGCGGACUAAGCAUGUAGUGGCCUGAGUGCAGUGCUUUCGGACGCGGGUUCGAUUCCCGCCGCCUCCACCA
rnacentral:tmRNA from 1 species